rfam:Zostera marina strain Finnish scaffold_67, whole genome shotgun sequence.
GGGUACGAUCAUACCAGCACUAAAGCACCGGAUCCCAUCAGAACUCCGCAGUUAAGCAUGCUUGGGUGAGAGUAGUAAUGGGAUGGGUGACCUCCUGGGAAGUCCUCGACUCCUCGUGUUGCAUCCC